rnacentral:lncRNA from 1 species
GGUGAUUGGAUCAUGAGGGUUCUGUACUUAUCAGGGGAUUAAUCCAUUGCUUUUGGGCCCACAGCUGCAUAUGGUGUAGAAAGUGGGACCUAGUUGUAAGAGGUGUAUUUUUGUCCUUGGCUCCUCCCCUGUCUUUCUGCUUCCUAAGUGCUAUGGGUUGAACAGCUUUCCAGCAUGCCAUUUCUGCCUCGAAGCCGGCUGCCAUGUGUAGGUUGAACCUUUGAAAACCAGGAGGCAAAAUAAACCUUCCCUUCUGUGUGGGUGUCAAGUAUUUUUGCCCCAGCCACAGAAAAGUGACAAAUACAGUUCUCAAUACAGCCGUGUUCAGAGGCGGAGCCUAGAAAAGUGAUUGAUUGGAUCACAAGGGCUUUAACUUCAUCAGUGAAUUAAUCACCUUUAUGAGAUCAUAAUUUUGAUGACAUUGGCGGUGGAUGAUGGAAACUGGAGGUGGGACUUAGUUUAAGGGAGCCAAUCAUGAGGACAUAACCUAGGUAAACUCUGUCCGGUUCCUGGUCACUGUGUCACUCUUUCUCUCUCCCUCUCUCUCUGUUUCCUGGCUGCCAUGAGUCCUUUAUCUGUGAGAUCAAAACCAAACCAGGGCCGAGGAUGUAGCUCAGCAGCACAGCACCUGCCUGGCAAGCAUGAGGUCCUGAGUUCAAUCCCCAUCGGUUCCAAAAACAACAACAACAACAAACCAAACCAACAACAACCACACAGGAGCAGGGAUAACAAAGUGUGGGUCAGGCGUGCAUCCCUUUGAGAAACACCCCCUUGGAGGAUUCCAGAAACAGAGUCUCCUGCAGCCAGAGCAUUGAGAAUACAGCCCAAGCCCACUGCCAAGAGGGAGGGGGCAAAGAAAGAUUUGAAGCUUGCAUUAGCUGGGAGUAAGCCUGCAAUGGCUUCAGAGAAAAGGCAGAAACAAAGGCCUGAGAGAGUCUUUUCAUACCCUGCAUUAAAGAUAAAAUCUAAUUUAGAUGAAAAUGGAUGCAUAGAAAUUAAAUGUGUGCGUGUGUGGUUUUUGUUGUCAAGCCAUAUAUCCUGUAAUGAUAGCUUUACUAAAUUUAUUCCCUUGCCUUGAAAAUAAA